UACGUAGGGUGCGAGCGUUGUUCGGAAUUACUGGGCGUAAAGGGCGCGUAGGCGGUCUUGCAAGUCCUGUGUGAAAUCCCUCGGCUCAACUGAGGAACUGCACAGGAAACUGCUUGGCUUGAGUUCGGGAGAGGGAAGCGGAAUUCCGGGUGUAGCGGUGAAAUGCGCAGAUAUCAGGAGGAACACCGGUGGCGAAGGCGGGUCUCUGGGCCGAUACUGACGCUGAGGAGCGAAAGCGUGGGGAGCAAACAGG
rnacentral:rRNA from 1 species